UUUGUUUCUCUGGAAAUGCCAUCGCAAUGUCCCUUGGGCUGUUUACUGUUUGAUAACACAUGGAGCAGAUGGGUGCUUCACUUCUGCAGGACGGAGGUUACACAGUACACAGUACACACACACAGUACACAGUACACACACACACACACAGUACACAGUACACAGUACACACACACUACAUUAUACACUCGUGGUUCAAUGUAAUACUUUUGAAUGGUAGUGUUCCAGGCGUAGUGUUCUAGGGGUUGUGUUCUAGGGGUUGUGUUCUAGGGGUUGUGUUCUAGGCGUAGUGUUCUAGGCGUAGUGUUCUAGGCGUAGUGUUCUAGGUGUUGUGGUCUAGGCAUAGUGUUCUAAGGGUUGUGUUCUAGGGGUAGUGUUCUAGGCGUAGCCUUAGCCUAAGCCUAAGAAAUUAAAAGUCAAUGAUCAUGUUUGGGUUACUGAAGCAAUAAGGCCUGAGGAGCUGUGCCAUUAUACACUGGUUACAUCAUUAGAACAGUCAACAAGUCAUUUUGCGAGUGUACAAAACAUUAUGAACACCGUCCUGAUAUUGAGUUGCACCCCUCCUUUUGCACUCAGAACAGCCUCAGUUCGUCAGGACAUGGACUCUACAAGGUGGUGAAAGCGUUCCACAGGGAUGCUGGUCCAUGUUGACUCAAAAUGCUUCCCACAGUUGUCUGGAUGUCCUUUGGGUAGUGGACCAUUCUUGAUACACACUGGAAACUCUACCAUACCCCGUUCAAAGGCACCUACUGCCAUACCCUGUUCAAAGCCACCUACUACCCUGUUCAAAGGCACCUACUGCCAUACCCCGUUCAAAGGCACCUACUACCAUACCCCGUUCAAAGGCACCUACUACCAUACCCUGUUCAAAGGCACCUCCUACUACCAUACCCUGUUCAAAGGCACCUACUACCAUACCCUGUUCAAAGGCACCUACUACCCUGUUCAAAGGCUCCUACUACCAUACCCUGUUCAAAGGCACUUCAAUGUUUUGUGUUGCCCAUUCAGCCUCUGAAUGCCAGACAUACACAAUCCAUGUCUCAAGGCUUAAAAAUAUUUCUUUAACCUGUUUCUUCCCCUUCAUCUACACCGAUUUUAAAGUGGAUUUAACAAUCAGGGAUCUUAGCUUUCCUCUGGUCAGUCUAUGUCAUGGAAAGAGCCGGUGUUUGUAAUUCUUGUACACUCAGUGUAUAGAUGUUCAGUACACGGGGGUGUAACGGUGUGGGGAAUGUUUUCCUGGCACACGUUCGGUCCCUUGAUACCGAUUGAGCAACUUUUCCAUGCCCUUAAGAAUUCAAGCUGUUCUGGAGGCAAACGGGGGGUCCAACACGUUACUAGAUGGGUGUACCUAAUAAACUGGUCACUGUGUGUGUGUGUGUGUGUGUGUGUGUGUGUGUGUGUGUUUGUGGGGACACUACCCCGUUCACGAAAAUGGCCAGUCAAGUUCUUCCACAUCGAUCUCGACAAACCAUUUCUGUAUGGACCUCUAUUAGUGGCGGCAUUGUCAAGCUGAAACAGGAAAUGGUCUUCCCCAAACUGUUGCCGCGAAGUUGGAUGUGCUUCUACAGUAUUGACUCCCGGAUGUGAAUACUUAUGUAAAUUAGAUAUUUAUGUAUUUAAUUUACAAUAAAUGAGCAAAAAUUCCUUAAACAUGUUUUCACUUUGUCAUUAUGGGGUAUUGUGUGUAGACGGGUGAAGAUUUUUUAAUUUAAAAAAAGUCAAUUUUGAAUUCAGACUGUAACACCAAGAAAACAUGGAAUAAGUAUAUAUGCAUAUUGAAUAUACAAAACAUUAAGAACACCUGCUCUUUUCAUGACACAGACUGACCAGGUGAAUCCAGGUGAAAGCUAUGAUCCCUUAUCGAUGUCGCUUGUUAAAUCCACUUCAAUCAUUGAUCCUAAGACCAGCUACUGCUACACUGAGACGCUUUUAUCAAUACGGACCCAUGACAUGACUAGAACCUGUUGAAGUAGCUCAAGAUACAAACACUUUUACUAUGUGUGGUCUGUACUGUAAUGUUUAACAAGGGAGUAUCUGCAUGGCCAGGUCGGCUACCCUCCAGUUCAUGUAAACAGAGCUGCCGCAGGAUCCUGACCUGACAGGAUCACUUAGUAAACACUUUAAAGAGAAGACAUGACACACACAAACACACAAAGGAAAGAUUGAAGGAGAUUAGUGAGAGGUGGUUGUGUAACUGAGCUGUGUUACCAGUUUCUGUCUUUUUUUUUCUAAACAGCUAAAAUAAACACUACAAUAUAAUUACUAGAAAGUUAAUCUAACAAUUUAUAUAAACAACAAUAUAAUUACUAGGAAGAUCAUCUAGCAGCUUAUAUAAACACUACAAUAUAAUUACUAGACCUCUCCCCACUCUACUACUCUACCCCCACCUCCCCCCCUCUACCCCCACCCCCUACCCCCAC
ensembl:lncRNA